GAUGAACGCUGGCGGCAUGCUUAACACAUGCGAGUCGAACGGGAAGUGGUGUUUCCAGUGGCGAACGGGUGAGUAACGCGUAAGAACCUGCCCUUGGGAGGGGAACAACAACUGGAAACGGUUGCUAAUACCCCGUAGGCUGAGGAGCAAAAGGAGAAAUCCGCCCAAGGAGGGGCUCGCGUCUGAUUAGCUAGUUGGUGAGGUAAUAGCUUACCAAGGCGAUGAUCAGUAGCUGGUCCGAGAGGAUGAUCAGCCACACUGGGACUGAGACACGGCCCAGACUCCUACGGGAGGCAGCAGUGGGGAAUUUUCCGCAAUGGGCGAAAGCCUGACGGAGCAAUGCCGCGUGGAGGUGGAAGGCCUACGGGUCGUCAACUUCUUUUCUCGGAGAAGAAACAAUGACGGUAUCUGAGGAAUAAGCAUCGGCUAACUCUGU
rnacentral:rRNA from 1 species